UACGAAGGGGGCUAGCGUUGCUCGGAAUGACUGGGCGUAAAGGGCGCGUAGGCGGUUCGUACAGUCAGACGUGAAAUUCCCGGGCUCAACCUGGGGGCUGCGUUUGAUACGUGCGGGCUUGAGUUCGGAAGAGGGUCGUGGAAUUCCCAGUGUAGAGGUGAAAUUCGUAGAUAUCAAGCGGAACACCGGUGGCGAAGGCGGCCUUCUGGACAGUGACUGACGCUGAGAUGCGAAAGCGUGGGGAGCAAACAGG
rnacentral:rRNA from 1 species